rnacentral:pre_miRNA from 1 species
AGUGGGAUAACUGGGUCAAAUGGUGAUUCCAUUCCAAGCUUCCUGAGGAAGCUCCAUUCAGCUUUCCAGAGUGGUUGUACCAAUUUGCAUUUCCACCAGCAAU